AUGUUCUCGGGAUCGGUGAAAAGUGCGCAAAGGCACUAUAAUCGUCAAGAUUCUGACUUUAUGGCUAAUGAGAAGGGAGAAGGGCAUGAAAGAAAUACAUCACGGACCGGAGCGAGAAGAAAAGAAGUAACCAGGGGCAUGCCAAAGAAGUUGGAGGGACCAUCUUGUGAAGAAAGAAGAGAAGUAGAAGGGCCAAAGAGCAAAGCAGCAGAUCUGAUCGAGGGGAACAAAAUCCCUAGAAUGCCUCUAUUCCCCAAGGGGCCUGGCACAUCUCUCCAUCUCAUCUCUUCCCCGCCUCCUUCUCCACCUCCGGCCGCUGCCGCAGCCAGGCCAUCGUGGUGGUGCGCCACCCAGACAACCUCCUUCCUCCAACACCAUCAUCGCCUCCAGCUACCACGCCAUCAGCACCUGCCGCUGCACCAUUAA
rnacentral:rRNA from 1 species